rnacentral:rRNA from 1 species
AGUGAACGCUGGCGGUAGGCCUAACACAUGCAAGUCGAACGGCAGCACAGUAAGAGCUUGCUCUUACGGGUGGCGAGUGGCGGACGGGUGAGGAAUACAUCGGAAUCUACUUUUUCGUGGGGGAUAACGUAGGGAAACUUACGCUAAUACCGCAUACGACCUACGGGUGAAAGCAGGGGAUCUUCGGACCUUGCGCGAUUGAAUGAGCCGAUGUCGGAUUAGCUAGUUGGCGGGGUAAAGGCCCACCAAGGCGACGAUCCGUAGCUGGUCUGAGAGGAUGAUCAGCCACACUGGAACUGAGACACGGUCCAGACUCCUACGGGAGGCAGCAGUGGGAAUAUUGGACAAUGGGCGCAAGCCUGAUCCAGCCAUACCGCGUGGGUGAAGAAGGCCUUCGGGUUGUAAAGCCCUUUUGUUGGGAAAGAAAAGCAGCAGGUUAAUACCCCGCUGUUCCGACGGUACCCAAAGAAUAAGCACCGGCUAACUUCGUG